rnacentral:piRNA from 1 species
AGUCCCUCACCGUCUUGGGGCGUCCGG